rnacentral:tRNA from 1 species
GCGGUUGUGGCUCAGUGGUAGAGCACUUGCUUCACAUGUAUGGAACACUGGGUUCGAUCCUCAGCACCACA